rnacentral:rRNA from 1 species
UGAACUUAAGCAUAUCAAUAAGCGGAGGAAAAGAAACCAACAGGGAUUGCCUCAGUAACGGCGAGUGAAGCGGCAAUAGCUCAAAUUUGAAAGCUGGCGUCUUCGACGUCCGCGUUGUAAUUUGUAGAGGAUGCUUCGGCGAGGACUCCUGCCUAAGUCCCCUGGAACGGGGCGUCACAGAGGGUGAGAAUCCCGUACGUGGCGGGCGGUCCGAGCCAUGUGAAGCUCCUUCGACGAGUCGAGUUGUUUGGGAAUGCAGCUCUAAAUGGGAGGUAAAUUUCUUCUAAAGCUAAAUACUGGCCAGAGACCGAUAGCGCACAAGUAGAGUGAUCGAAAGAUGAAAAGCACUUUGGAAAGAGAGUUAAAAAGUACGUGAAAUUGUUGAAAGGGAAGCGCUUGCAACCAGACUCGCUCGCAGUUGCUCAGCCGGCCUCUUGGCCGGUGCACUCUUCUGCGAUCGGGCCAGCAUCAGUUCGGGCGGCCGGAUAAAGGCGUCGGGAAUGUAGCACCCUUCGGGGUGUGUUAUAGCCCGGCGCGGAAUGCGGCCAGCCUGGACUGAGGAUCUCGCUUCGGCAAGGAUGCUGGCGUAAUGGUUGCAAGCGGCCCGUCUUGAAACACGGACCAAGGAGUCUAACAUCUAUGCGAGUGUUUGGGUGUCAAACCCAUGCGCGUAAUGAAAGUGAACGGAGGUGGGAACCCCUCGCGGGGCGCACCAUCGACCGAUCCUGAUGUCUUCGGAUGGAUUUGAGUAAGAGCAUAGCUGUUGGGACCCGAAAGAUGGUGAACUAUGCCUGAAUAGGGUGAAGCCAGAGGAAACUCUGGUGGAGGCUCGCAGCGGUUCUGACGUGCAAAUCGAUCGUCAAAUUUGGGUAUAGGGGCGAAAGACUAAUCGA